rnacentral:sRNA from 1 species
GAUAGGAGUUACCUCCUAUCCUUUGUCAAGUCGUCCCUUCGGGACU